rnacentral:snoRNA from 1 species
GGAAAUUUGUAGCACUUGUUUUUGUUUAAUUUGUGGACAAAGACUUAUAUACAGGUCCAAAAAUAAAUCCUCUUUUGCAACUCAGAACUCAUUGUACGGUAUGAGUUUUGAUACACAGAAGAAGGAAUAUG